rnacentral:lncRNA from 1 species
AGCUGAAACGUCUUGCGAGCUGAGUCAGGGUCGGGGAAGCUGUGAUGGCAAUGAGAAGUCAACACACUGAGGAUGGAGAGAAAGAAGAUGAGUCUGGGAGAGAAAGAGAAUGAUUCUUCUGGCCGAGGGAAAGCAAGAAUAUCUGUUCCUGCAACUGCACUGAUUCUAGAAACACUCUCUAUUCGAACUCUCAUGAGGUGCUGACCUGCUUGGUGAAUGCUGGGAUCUCUGGAAGAGGGAGGCAGACAUCACACACCAGCUGGCAAGUGGGAGCUGGCAUGCAACAUGCCCCAAUACCACUCCCCUCCUGCCAUCCCUAUCUCCUAAUGGUGCCUCCUUUUGGCCAAACCCACCUUUGGCUGGAGGGCAACAGAGCCCAUUGACGUGGUCCCCUUGCAUCUGCUACCUGGGGAGAAAAGCAGGAUGGACACUGAAUCUAGAGAAAUGAAGAAACCCAUCCAGAAGAAUACUGCUUCUUUAUGUUUUUGUAGGUGUACAAAUCAGGCCUCCCCAUGAUAUUCUAAACUCCUUGAGGAAAGAAGUGGAGUCCUGGGCUUCUGAUGUAGCCUCCACAGUGCUCAGGGGAUAGCGACACUGGCACCCUAUAGAUAUUUAAUUACAUGUGGACUGGAAGAGACCAAACAGCUUCCUGGUAUUUCAAUCAAACCCGGUGCUCUAGACCUGUGGCUCACUCUGAGCAAACUAUAAUGAGUUGAACUUGAAUCUGAUUCCUGCUAAGAAAGGUUUCAUUUUAAUAGGCAGUAAGGCUAUGAGCUAACACCAGAAUUCAUUCGAGUUACUAGACUCACUGAAACUCCUCACAGGAUCCAUCUUUCAUGUUUUCUAGAUUUUGGUAUUCUUAUCUAAACUGCAGACCCAGAAACCCUAUGGACCCUACCUUUCCAAUUAUAUUUCUGGGAAGAGUCAUUCUCUGCAGAGCUGAAGCAUGUAACAGAAAGUUCUCAACCUGAAAAAUAUACCUUCUGCGCCCAAGCCCCACUUUCUGCCACUAUUUGGUAAUCUCAAGUGGGUGAGGUGGUCUCUGAACUUCAGCGCUCUCAUGGUCAGAGCCACAAGGGGUUACUGGGAGGCUAAAGGGAAGUGGCAAACGUGGCUGAGAUUCAGAAAGAAAAGCAGCAAGUGUAGAGAGGCAAGGACUUUUCCAUCUUUUAAAUUCCUUAAAGGAAGCCAAAGUUCAUUUUCCAGUCUCCUUCAGAUGCCUCUCCAAUCCUUCACAGCAGCGCACACAUACCGCAGAAGGAACUCACCAUCACAAAAAGAUGACAGAGCACUGGGGGCUGGGGUGCCACUUGUGUUGGCUGAGAGCCUGGAUGCAUGUGAGGUCAAGCCUGACCUUGGGAAAGCUGCUCUCUGGACAUUACUUGCUGUGCCACAUACACAGCUUGGGUUUCUGAGGAAACAACACAGGCUCUAAGGAGGAACUGGAACGGGGCCCAGGGUAUAUCUUUUACAGCCCGUACUUUUGAGGAAAAUAGAAGACAAAAGGUUUUUAAAAAACACAAAGUGUAUACACGUAUACACAAAGUUUACAAGUUUGUGUGUUUUAACAUCUACUCUCCUUAAGAACAAGUAGACAGGAAAGAUAUUACCUGAUAUGGGUUAAAUUGUGUCCCCAAAAACAUGUUUUGAAGUGCUAACCUUUGGUACCUGUGGAUAUGACCUUACUUGGAAAUAGGUUUUUGCAGACGUAACCAAGUUAAGAUGAGGUCAUAUUUGAUUAGGCUGAACCCUGAAUCCAGUAUGACUGGGGUCCUUAUAUAAACAAGAGAGACACACGCAGAGUGAAGAUGAUGUGUUGAAACACAGGAACAGUGUCAUGGGAUGCUGGGGACAGCAGUUGGAGUGAUGCAUCUAUGGGCCAAGGGAAUGCCAAGGAUUGCCAGCCAUCACCAGGACAGAAGCAUGGGUACUGAUGCCCUCACAGAGCCCUUGAAGAGAGUCAACCCUGCUGACACCUUGAUUUCAGACUUCCAGCCUCCAGAACUGUGAGAGAAUAAAUUUCCGUUGUCUUAAGUCACCCAGUUUGUAGCACUUUAUUAUGGCAGCCCUGGGAAACUAACACACUACCCUUAUUUUCAUGCUGAGGAAUGUAAGAUAGUUUUAGGCACCACCUGCUUCUAUACAAGUUUUAUGAUCUCUCCUCCUAAUACUGCAGAAAUUAUGGGUUUUACCAUCUUAGUAUAUAGCAUAAUAUAUCCAGCACACGUUAUAUAUUUAGCACUUUAUUAGAGUACCCCGGUUUGCUCUUCUGAAAAACUGUGAGGCUGGAUUUGAUGCUUUCUAAGGCUUUUUUUUCCCUAUGUAUUCUCUGAUCAGAAUACCCUGCUCAACGAAGCCGCUGGUAAUGAAGCUCAUUAAAAAUGAAAUCACUUAGGUAGGGAGUUGGAGAGUGACUCAUUUAAAACAUUGCCUCCUGGAAACUGAAAUUCAUUGAACACAAAAGCUUUUGGAGGGACUCAGAUUGGUAGGGACUCUGCAGUCUGACAAAAGGGUCUGGUGACAGGGGGCAUCUGAUCCCAUCUAGGGAGGGUAGGGAGAGGGAGUCCGGAGAGGGAUGCAUAAACAAGCCUUCUUCAGACAUGCUACCUAUGCCUCUCCCAUGGCUCCUGCAUGCUUGGAUGUUACGCUUCUUUAAAGAGCAGGUGACAGGUUGCCCCUGGGACGCUCAGAGCCAGGCAAGGUGGGACUUGGCCCUGCUCCCCCUUCUUCUAUCUGAAAAGUUGCCCUUAGUCCCACGGGGCCCCUUCCUGUCACACCGACACAGCUUGCUGGUUUUUGUUUUCUUUCACUGUCCUUUUUCUUUUUUCAGAAGUUCCUCACAGGAAGUGUUUGGCAGGCAGCUCAGGCCCCUGCUGAGAUGGAGAAUCUAGCAAACCUGUCCCGCUGAUUGAUUAAACACUGAGGAGGCUCCAAGACCCAAGCGUGAAAUUCCUUGGCUCUGAUUGUGCUAAGGGUAGAGCUCACUAAUGAAUGGAGUCUGAUUACAGCCCAGCCUCUCCAGUGCCUCCUGUUGCCCCAAUUUGGGGGAUUCUUCUGCUUCGAGUACAUCAUGGAAAGCAGCACAGAGUUCUCAGCAGGAUCUGCGAUGUCUGAUCCAAGAAAGAUUUUUGUUGUUGUCGUCAUUGUUGUUUUUUAAUCCUGAUCAUUGCUCUCAAACCCUUCUCUACACAGCUUGGCGUGGGGGGUAGUUGAUUUCCAGUGAAACCGGGUGGAAGCAGUGCCACUGCCACCUGUGAGGAGGAAAUGGGCAACAGUCGGCUUCAUCCGUCCUGAACGCUCAGGCCUGAAUGUUCCAAACUGAUGCUAAACUGAGACUCUCUGAAGGCCCAUGGGGAAGCCUGGCAUUGUGUAGCCAUUUCUUCCAGCAAGGCUCUCCCCUCACAUUCACAGCCUGCCACUUAAAGCUUUGGGAGACAAUGUAGUUGACCUGUAGUUCUUCCUGUAUGUGGCUCCUGGUCAGUCACUGGGCAAGGAGGAGGCUGCAGGCAUUGUGCUAUCCCCUUAUCUCUCUCUCUGUCUGUCUCUUAUCUAGUUCAAAUCAGCAAAUGGAGCUUGGUCCUUCGUUUGUAAAGUAAGGGGGUGGAAAAUUAUCCCUAAGUUACCUCCUGGUUUAGAAAAGUCUUAAUGCUGUUUUAUAAUAACUCACCCACCUCUCCUCUUCCAUGAGCUCAGAGCGGCCCAGCCCUUGGAAUGUGUUUCUGCCACGACAAGGAAUACAGGAGGAGUUGAACAGGAAACCUGCCUCCUAUCAGAUUCACCUGAGGACGUGCAGGUGAGAUCGGCACUGGCUCCAAGGAAGAGGUUUUCCAUGCAGAUGUGGAAACUGCCAAAAGACCUUGGAUGUGAGCUGCCACCUGCUGCUGGAAAGAUGUGGAGAGAACUUGGAUUCAGGAAGAGAGCUGCUUCUUCCCUCCUCCCAUAUCCCAGUUUCUUGCCGUGCUUUCCAUUGGCAUACCCUAACUGAAAGCCACUGGCAAGAGACUUGCAGAAAUUAACUUUCCAGAGUCUCAGGCCCUCUAGAUUACAGAGAAGAGGACGGAAGAGAGGGAAUGGGGCCUGAGACAAAUACCUUCAUAGUGUUCUUCCUAAAAUGUAAAACCAAUAAUUGAAAACUAAACUCUACAUAAGA